GGUGAAAUUCUUGGACCGUCGCAAGACGGACAGAAGCGAAAGCAUUUGCCAAAAACGUUUUCAUUGAUCAAGAACGAAAGUUAGAGGUUCGAAGGCGAUCAGAUACCGCCCUAGUUCUAACCAUAAACGAUGCCAGCUAGCGAUCCGCCGACGUUCCUCCGAUGACUCGGCGGGCAGCUUCCGGGAAACCAAAGCUUUUGGGUUCCGGGGGAAGUAUGGUUGCAAAGCUGAAACUUAAAGGAAUUGACGGAAGGGCACCACCAGGAGUGGAGCCUGCGGCUUAAUUUGACUCAACACGGGAAACCUCACCAGGCCCGGACACCGGAAGGAUUGACAGAUUGAGAGCUCUUUCUUGAUUCGGUGGGUGGUGGUGCAUGGCCGUUCUUAGUUG
rnacentral:rRNA from 1 species